rnacentral:rRNA from 1 species
AGUGAACGCUGGCGGUAGGCCUAACGCAUGCAAGUCGAACGGCAGCACAGUAAGAGCUUGCUCUUACGGGUGGCGAGUGGCGGACGGGUGAGGAAUACAUCGGAAUCUACUUUUUCGUGGGGGAUAACGUAGGGAAACUUACGCUAAUACCGCAUACGACCUACGGGUGAAAGCAGGGGAUCUUCGGACCUUGCGCGAUUGAAUGAGCCGAUGUCGGAUUAGCUAGUUGGCGGGGUAAAGGCCCACCAAGGCGACGAUCCGUAGCUGGUCUGAGAGGAUGAUCUGCCACACUGGAACUGAGACACGGUCCAGACUCCUACGGGAGGCAGCAGUGGGGAAUAUUGGACAAUGGGCGCAAGCCUGAUCCAGCCAUACCGCGUGGGUGAAGAAGGCCUUCGGGUUGUAAAGCCCUUUUGUUGGGAAAGAAAAGCAGCAGGUUAAUACCCCGCUGUUCUGACGGUACCCAAAGAAUAAGCACCGGCUAACUUCGUG